ensembl:lncRNA
AGCAGUUUGGAGUCCUGACAUCCGUUAUCCCUUCUGCCAAAUUGCUGCAGUAUGGCAACCAGAUGGGAGUUCUGCCAUUUAUCCCAAAGAAUGAACCACCCUUUGAGUAAAGCUUUUUCAUUAAGGACAGAAUCUUAGAACCUCAGGCACAGCCCUCCCACUGGAUUUGUUUCUGUAUUUUUUAACUGCAUUUUUUAAAAUUGAAGACAGUGUAUAAUGGAGAGUUUAUUUAGUUAGAAUUUGUUUAAAAUAAAAUAUUUAAUCUUGUAAAAGGUGAAGGAACGGAAGAAGCAAAGUGUAUGUAGCAGAUGGUGAAGAGUAGACUCAAAGCAUCAUUCUUUGUUAAAGGAAACGUUCAGUGCACCGACUGGAACGGAGCCAGCUAGGAAGGGACUUCAGCAGGAAGGGCUGCACAGCUUCCCAGCCAUCACAGGAUCAGAGCAGCCGUGGACCUGAGGAGGUGAUUAAGAAUCAAGUGCCCGUGACAAAUAGCCCUUCAGAGGAAGUUAGCUUUUGUGGGAGCAACUCGAGCUGACCCUGAGAACCACCCCUGAUUUUGGAAAAUGAACUUUCUCAAAUAACGAAAACAGCCGUUGAAAGGGAGACCAGGACACGUGAAAUAUGGCUGAAUGAGAAACUCAUCAUCGCAUGCUCUGAGCCAUCAGGAAGUGAACCUCAAAUUGGGAUCUGAGUGUCUUGGUUGGUACAAGGACCUGUGAAAAACUGUAUCUUGAAGAUGCAGAAAGGUCAGACUAUGGGUUUCCACUGCAGGACUAGCAACUAACUGGCAUUUGUGUGCUGGUGGUCCCUGCCCUGUGGACAUACAGUUAAAAAGCUCCAGAGGAGUUGUUGUUCCUUGUGCAAAGAGAAGACCUUUCCUUUGGCUCAGAGCUGGCAUCAUUGCAUCAGUUGAGUGGUUACUUGGAUUGGAAGAUGGUAAAAGCAAUUGCUGCUGGGCUUUUUUUGUACAGCAGAAAGAGGUCGCAAUCUUCCCUGUGGACUGUGGUGGUUAUUCCCCCAAACUUAUGCCUUUUGCCAGCUUGGUGAUAGAACUUCAGGGUUUCAGUGGAGCAGGUGUCAAAGCACACAGCCAAGGAAUGGAGCUGAAGGCAUAAUUCUUAGUCUGAGACGUUAACUAUGGGCACAGUUGUAAUCUGAGAAAAUCAUGAAUGUCACCAAUGCAUUCUGGUAAAGUGAUAGCUAUAAAAUGAAAGAUUUAAAGGAAGCAAUCAUAAUGGUUAACAGCAGUAUGAAAAAGCUUAAACAUGUUCAUAAAUUUCAAUAACUGCUGAGCAAUAUACUGGAUUCAUCUAGGAGAGAUUUAAUUUGAAAAAUGCUAAAUAGGAGGAACAGACUGGAAACAGACAUUCCUCCUGAAGAUGAAGCCUUUUGGUGAGAAAUUUACAUUGCACUUCAGCUGAAGCGAUACUAAAUGUGAGUACAAUGUGUUAGAAAAGGAAUUAUAAAAUAAAUUGUGGAAGGAGGUUUUUAAAUUUGCACGUUAAGGAAAAAAAGCUUUAUUUUGUAUUCUCACUUCAGAUGAUGAUCGUGUCUUGAUGUAUAAGUGCCCAUGCAUGCUGAAAUAAAUGAAAAUAACAAAAAAAAAAUGGUAUUAACUACAUAGAUUUUUAAUAGAAAAAGAAAAUGACUGAAGUCUUAUCACAGGGAAGUAUAAACAUAUAUGCUUGUGAGCAAGUAUCCAG